rnacentral:rRNA from 1 species
UACGUAGGGUGCGAGGCGUUGUCCGGAAUUACUGGGCGUAAAGAGCUCGUAGGUGGUUUGUCGCGUUGUUCGUGAAAUCUCACGGCUUAACUGUGAGCGUGCGGGCGAUACGGGCAGACUAGAGUACUGCAGGGGAGACUGGAAUUCCUGGUGUAGCGGUGGAAUGCGCAGAUAUCAGGAGGAACACCGGUGGCGAAGGCGGGUCUCUGGGCAGUGAACUGACGUGAGGAGCGAAAGCGUGGGGAGCGAACAGG